CUCCAGCCAAUUCACCAUUCUCAUGAAUUACACUCUCCUCAAUUAUUUUCCAUGCUUUCUCUAUCUGUCGAAAGAAGAAAUGAAAAACUCGAAGUGCUGGACUUUACCAUUUUGAUUCAAUAGACCCAGCAGCCAACCCAAAUCAAAACGACAGCCACGCUCAUCAUCCACCCCAAGGCUUUGUGGACCAAGGGGUUAGCGUUGCUUUCCCAAGACAGGUUAUGUGUUUAUGAUCUUCAGGCUUUGCCUAAUCAGGUUGGCUGGCUGGUGCUGACGGGACGGAGCUGAGGCUAGGGUCAAAUUCCUAUUUUAGACUUCCGCUGUAGCAAUCACUCAUAUCCGUCUUUUGUUAUCCCAACUUAAGAUCUUCAUGUAAAAUUUCAAACGAUAUACUUGACCGAGCUUAGACUCUUCACUACUGAAUUUAUGCUAAUGAAUGUCGGUUGUCAGAAGCAUGAAACAAAA